rnacentral:lncRNA from 1 species
CAGCUUAAACAUUUUGGAUGGUGGUAAGAUCCAAGAGAUUAAGAGAGUUAAGCGUGCUAGGACGGGAGUAGUCCUAGGAUGGGUGACCCCCUGGGAAGUUAGGGCGUCACAGAUGGUAUCAGAGCCAAUUACCAGCCGGAAGUGUGAGAUGAGUCUCGGCUGAGCCAGGGUCUGGAUGACGGAGCUAGCGAGAUGAGCUCUCACAUCGCCUGUACUUGUGAGUUGCGCCUGACGAGACGCACUGCGGCUUAAAGCGCAUGGGAGAUGUGAGAUCCCAGAUAUUCCUAUAUAUGAGAUAUAAUAGGCUAAACUUCUUACCCGCUUAAAGGCAUUUUGGGAUGGUGGCUAGACUCAAGAUCGUUUAAGAGAGUUAAGCGUGCCUAGAGCGGAAGUAGUCCUAGGUAUGGUUGACCUCCGGGGGAAUGUUGGGCUGCGCGUCAAUGGACCGAGGUAGUGGUCACACUGGACCACUCAUAUACCAGUUAUAUAAUAUAUAUAAUGUAAAUAUAUGUACUGUAUAUAUAUAUGAUAUAUAUAUAUAUAUAUUGUAUAUAUAGUAUGUAUUAUAUAUAGUAUAUAGAUAUUAUAUAUGUUUAUAUAUUAGUAUAGUUAUAUUAUAUAUUAUAUAUAUAUAUAUAUAUGUAUAUAUAUACAUAGUAGGUGUUACUUGCUAUUGAUGAGCACAGCAGCCUUGUGCUCUACUAACUUUUAAUCCCCAUCAAAGUAUUGAUCAGUGGUAGCGGUGAAAGGAAAAAAAAUAAUUAGAGUAAAAAUUCAAAGAGAACAGAAAUUGAGAAACACCAAUUUCUCUCUAAUUUACUCCUCCUUUCUCACCCAAACAUUAUCAAAUUUGAUGGGGCGGUUAAGAACUUAGGAGACAAAAGGUUGUUGUGCUCCUUAUAUAUAUAUAUAUAUAUAUAUAUUAUAUAUAUAUAUAUAUAUAUAUAUAUUAUAUGGCCAAUUUGCCAUAAAAAAUUCAUUUAUUUUGGCGCUUUUGCAAAACCGGUGCGCACUUUUUCGUUUUGCAGAUUCGUCGUCCUUUUUCGUGCCGCCCUGACAAAAUACCCUUUAUUACUUUUUCUACUUUCCGUCUUUCUCUCUGCCUUUCAUGUUUGCUAUCGUUUUGGUUUUUUUUUCUGCCGCGCGACGCGUUCCCCUCGAUCCUUCCUGCGUAUCGUCCCAUCACCGCCGCGUUCUCCCGAACCGCCCCGCCUCGCUCCCUCCCCGACGACCCGCCACCUCGACUGCCCCACGACGCUCUCUCCGCCGCCGGCCGCGCGAUUCUGUUUUUUUUCUCGCCGCGCCGCCCGUUCUCCUCGAAUCCUCCUGCGCCGUCCCCAUCACCGUCGCGUUCCCGAACCGCACCCUCCUCGCUCCCCCCGGCGACCCGCACCCCUCGACGGCCCCCACGGCCGCUCCUCCGCCGCCGGCCGGAGCGACCCCCGCCGGCCGGCGGCGGAGGAGCGGCCGUGGGGGCCGUCGAGGGGUGCGGGUCGCCGGGGGGAGCGAGGAGGGUGCGGUUCGGGAACGCGACGGUGAUGGGGACGGCGCAGGAGGAUUCGAGGGAGAACGACGGCCGCGGCGAGAAAAAAAAAAGAGCGAUAGAAUUACACCAUUACACCAUUACCAUUACAUCAUUACCAUUACACCAUUACACCAUUAGCAUUACACUAUUACACCAUUACACCAUUACCAUUACACCAUUAUUAUUACACCAUUACACCAUUACACCAUUUACGCCAUUAUACCAUUACACCAUUACACCAUUUGCCGACGGAGAAGAACACGCGCGGGUCUUUUUCAUUUUCUUCUUCUUUUUCAUUUUCUUCUUCUUCCUCCUGCGGAGGACCUCGACUCCCUCGAUCUCCGCUGACGGGGGCGCCCCUUCCGCCGCCGCCUCGGCGGCGCGCGGCGGCGCCGAUGGCGUCGUCGGACGAGGAGACGUUUUACACGCCGCAGCGCUCGGCGGAGUCGGCGUACAGCGACAGCCCCAGCAGCCCCAUCUCGCGGCGGUGGUAUCGAAAGCUCGUCGGCGAUGGUGAGGGAGCUGCUCGAGGUGUUGCUCGCGCUGUUGAGCUCGGGCUUGGCGGCCAACGACCUGCGCUGGUCGACGAGGCCGCGCAGGCCGCGGGCUGCGACGAGCGGAGAAGCUGCGAAGCUCGGGGCCAGCUCCGCCACCACCGCCGCGUUGCUCCGUCGCAGCCACUCAUUCUCCUCCACCAACGCCGUCGCUCCUCCUACGUUGGCGGCGACGGCGGCGGAGGCGGUAGAGGUGGGGCCGAGGACGAGGAAGCGAGGAGGAGAGGGGGAGUCAGUCUAGGGCUGGGGGUCCGCGGCGACGGGAUCGAAGAAAGGAGAGAGAAAAAAAAGAGGAGAGAGAAAAAUAUAUAAGAGUAUUUUGGUCAGUUUGCUGAAAAAGUGGACCGAACCUGCAAAAACGAAAAAAGUGGUCCGGUUUUGCAAAAAUCCAAAAUAAGUAGAUUUUUUAUGCAAAAAGGCCUAUAUAUAUAUAUAUAUAUAAUAAUUUAUUUUAUAAUAUUAAAUAUAUAUUAUUAUUAUAUAUUAUAUUAUAUAUUUAUUAUAUAAUAUAUUUUAAAUAUAUCUUGUUUAUAAAUAUAAAUUAUAAUAAUUAAAUAUAUUAUGAUAUAGUCGUAAUAAUAUAUAUUAGAUAAAAACUAUUUAUAUAUACUUUUUUCACUAUGUGCAUAAUAAUAAUUAUUAUAUAUUAAUACUACUUUAUUUUAUAAAAUAUUAUUAUAUAUAUAUUUUUUUCAUAAACGAGCUUUUUUUUUUUUUUAUACUUUACAAGCACAAACGGGAUCGAAUGAUAGAUUAUAAUUAUAUAUAAUAAUUAAUUUUAUAGCAGUGACUUGACUCAUCAACGGUGACCAUUGAAGUUUCUGGCCAGCCGCCCUGUUUUGAUCAUAACACUUUCCCCGUGGCCAAGUCUGCCCUCAUACCUUUUAUAUUAGUGCUCCUAUAUUAUAUUCCUCAUAUUCCAUUAUUAUUAUAAACACCAAAAAUCGCUAAACCCAAAAACUUCUCCCUCACCUCCACCCCCCCCCACCCAAUAUCAGUUCAGAUGAAACAUGCUGUACACAUGAGUCUGCAGUCGUGAGGGAUUUAUUUGCUGUGCAGAUCAAUAGCAUAUAUAUAUUAUAUAGAUAUAUAGUUUGGAAUAUGAAGCAGCAGCGAGUAGUUGUAGUAGAAGUAGGAAGAAGUGUAGUAGGUUGGUGGUGACGCGCGCGGUGUUUUGUUUGGAUCUGUGAUCGAUCGAGUCGUAUGUGGUUCACAACGUGUGUGGACGCGCAUGACGGGGAUAGAACUUUCAGUAAGGAUGGAAGGCAGGGGAAGAUCAGGUGGGGAAUGUGUUGUGCUCAUGGGCGCAACGUCCUCGACUUUAGGCGACUUCACUGCCUCCUCUUCACGGCCUCCCGAGUUCUCUCGGACCCGGCGGUUCUCUUCCAACUCGUCAGUGCCACCCACGUGUCGGCGGUAAUCAACUCGUUUUUUUUUUUUUCUUCUCUUUUCUUUACAACAUAAACACGUUCUCGAGAGACAAGUGACAAAAAAUUUGAUGGUUGGUAUCCAAAACAAGUUCGAUUCCUAGUCGAUUCACUUUCUUAGUAGUUUAUUUUAUAAUGAAAUAACGAAAGGUGACCAGGAUAGCUACCUAUCUCUUUUUCAAAAAAAUAAAAAAAAAACUUUUAGUUCUAGUCAUGUAUUGCCAGUUUUUUUUUUCUUAUUUUUUUUCGUCUAGUAUAGUUAUCGUGUAGUGGGUAUAUAUAGUAUAUAUUAUAUAUAUAUGUAUAUAAUAGUAUAUACUAUAUUAAUAAUUGCCCUUUUCACGAAUUUUAGUAUUUAUUAAAUCAAAAUCCAAUAUGUGUUGACUGAAUGAUAGGAUGAUAUUAGUCCUUAGGGUUGAUUGGUUCUCCAUUGGGUUAUAAUAUUUAAUCCAAUGGUUAAAAAUAAUAAAAGGAAUUGAUCUAAAGGCUAAACUUGAUAGUAAAAAGGGCCUUUUGCUAUUAAUAGUAUUCUAGCCUAACUCUCUCUCUCUCUCUAUAUAUAUAUAGAGCUAAGCUGGUAUACUAUCGGUAGCACGGAGCCCUCCGUGCUACCAAGUUGCUUUCAAUGAUGUAGUUUCUAAAUUGACGAUCGGCUCCCUUAGACUUGAUCUAUACUAUUGAAAGCAUUUGAAAAUUAAAUUUCAUAAUUUUUUUACAUCAUUUACCUAUUAAACGAGUAGUCUAAAAAUGAACGUUGAAAAUAAAAAUUUCAUAAAAAAUAAUGAUAAAAGAUUUGAGUUUAAGAUCAGAGGUACCGAUCUUACUCUAAAUAGUGAAAAGAAUUUUUUAUAAAAAUUUCGUCAGAUUUAGAUUGUUUUAUACUGUUAAAUUCACAAACGAAUCACAUCGACUAUUAAAAUUAUUAAUUUUGAGACCUUUUGAUCACUAGCUAAAUAAUGUCAAAAAAUUAUGAAGUUUAGUUUCCAAAUACUUUUAAUAGUGUAAAUCAAGUUUAAUUAAGCCGAUCGUCGAUUUGGAAGGCGCAUCAUUGAAAACAACUUGGUAGCACGGAGGGCUCGUGCUAUCGAUAGAAUACCAGCCUAACUCUCUCUCUCUCUCUCUCUCUCUCUCUCUCUAUAUAUAUAUAUAUAUAUAUUACGUCAUUAUCAUACUUAAAAGUUAUUUCGAUAAUAGGAUUUUCGAUUUGACGAUCGGCUCCGUUAGGUAUAAUCUACUUUAUUGGAACUAUUUAGAAACUAAAUUUUAUAAUUUUUUGAUAUUAUUUAUCACGUGAUCAAAAGGUCUCAAAUAUGAACUAUUUUAAUGGCCGGUGUGGCAUAUUUUUAAGUUCAACGGUAUAGAACAAUUCAAAUUAUAUGAAACUUUGAUAAAAAAUUCUACUUAACAUCCAUAACAAGAUUAAUACUUAUGAUUUAAAAUUUGAAUUUUUUAUCACUAUUUUUUAUAAGACUUUUAUUUUCAGUUUAUUCUUAGGCUACUCGUUUACUAGAAAAAUGGAGUCAAAAAAUUAUAAAAUUUAGUAUCUAGAUGGUUUCAAUAGCGUAGAUCAUGUCUAACAGAACCGAUCACUAAAUCGGUUGUUCCAUCAUCGAAAACAACUUACAAGAACGGAGGCCUCCGUACUUUCGAAAACAUUGGAGCCUAGUUCUAUAUAGAUAGUAUAGCUACCAUGCUAUUAGAAGAAGCAUAAUAGGAUUAAUGCUUUAGAUUUUUUUAGUUUUUGAAUCAAUCUUUUUAAUCAUUUCUGAUCUUUUGAUUAAUAUUAUUACCCUAUAUAAGGCACUCAUUCCUAAAGAGACCACUCAUAUGUAGGGGGGACCACUAUCAUCCUAACCAUAUAAUUCGUAAUCCAAAAGUUAAAAAGUAUGAAGCACCAAGUCCUUAAUGCUUAUGAAACAUAGUGUAGUUCUACACUAUAUAUAUAUAUAUAUAUAUAUAUAUAUAUAUAUAUAUAUAUAUAUAUAUAUAUGAGUCCGACUGAAAUACUAUCGAUAGCACCAAACAAUUGAUAAAAUUCAAGAAUAACAAUAUCUUAAGUAUGGCAAUAAUCUAAAUUUUUUUUUUUUGAGUUGUUGCCAUACUUAAGAUAUUGUCAUUCUCGAGUUUUUUUUUUAAAAAAAAUUAUUCAUCAUUUGAAUGUUUGUCAUAGUUGACAGUUUUUUAAUUUUCAGUAUUUGAUUCAACUAUAAUUAAUUUCUUAAUUUUAUCAUGAUCCUCCAUUAGUUUGAAAAUUUUACAUGUUCCUUUAUUCCAAAAAAAGAUCCUUUAAUUUAUAAGUAUAAUAUCUUUGUUGUUCUUUAGAAAAACUAAGAGAUUAUUAAUUUCCUUAAACAUAAAAUAUAAUCAGAAGCAGACUCAAUCACCGAGCCUUGAUUUUUCACUUCAAUUUGAACCAAACAGGUCUAAAUCUAGUUUUUAUUUUUAGUUAUAAAUUUGAUUUAUUAACUAUACAAUACUUAAAUUUAUAAAUUGUAUUUUUUAUUUUUUUUUAUUUUUUUAUAGGAUUAAGUCGUAUAUAUGCCUAGAUCUGCGUGACAUUUAAUUAAUUAUAUUUUGGUGGUACUUAGACAGCUAAUGAAUGAAUGGAUCUGAGCUGUUAAGAAUUGAAUUUGAUGUUGAAUUGACUACUAAAAAGCUAUCAAAUUUAAUUAUUAUUUACUAGCACUACAACAAAAACUGUUUAUAGCGACACUUUUAAAUGUAGGUACAUGUUAAAAAAGUGCUGCUAGCUAAAAUUACCGACACUUUAAAAAGUGUUGCUAUAUGGGGGUUCGCUAGGUAUAUAGUGACAGUUAAAGAGUGUCGCUAUAACCUAAAAGAGUGCUGCUAAUUUACCAACACUUAUUUAAGCAUUUAGCAACCGCCGAAACUCUAUCUCGUUGGCUGCGGUGACGGAGGAGGACGACAGGAAAGGCUCUUCGUCUAAAAUUUCAGUGGAUUGAGUGAAGAGAGAAGAAAAAAUGGUAAUUAAUUUUUUUUUUUUUUCUUUUCUGUUUGUAAUCGGGCCAAAUGGACUGGGUGUGGUGGGUUGAGUAGAGUAAUCUUUUAUUUUUGGUUGGAUUGGGCUUUAUAUUUAGGCAUUAGUAGAUAUUUUUUUAAGUUUUAGCAUAAAUGGGACACUUACUUAAAAGUAUCCCAAAUAUGUGUCCCUAUAAUCUAAUUCUGUUAUAGUGUAGCUGCAUUUAAUUAAUUUUAAAUUAAAUUAUACAUUUUUUAUUUUCAAAAUUUUGAAUUAUUAUAACUAAAUCUUAGAGUCCAAUUUAGUUACUUAGAUAUGCAUAUUUUAUGUAGUGAUGUGAAAAUAAUGCGACAUAGUAGUUAUAUCUCUCUAGUGGCUAAAAUACUAUUAUAUUAUUAUAAUAUCGGAACAUAUAUAGCAUCAUUUAGUCAACUUAAUUAAACUUUAGUAAAAAUUAUAAUAAAUUAAACUUAGAAACUAAAAUAACAUGUGCCACCAAAAUUUGAAGAUCAAAAGCACAAUUUUCCUAGCAAGGUGGACCAACUCCCUAUUAACUCAAAAUCUCACAUGAUCAAAUUAAUAUUAUGUGCCGAAAACGCUUCAAUAUUUGUUAAUUUUGCGUGGUGUUUUCGAUUGUAUAGAUAUCAUAUAUGUCAACACAUUAAGCUGACGUAUUCUGAUGUGACGUAUAGAUAACGAUAAUAAGGGGAAGGUAGGGAAGCCGGCGUUUCUGGAGGAGUGGGUGACGACACUGACGUCGAUAUCGGCGGGGGAGUCGAAGUUCAAGGUGACGUUCGACUGGGACGACAGUCAGGGCAUCCCCGGCGCGGUGAUCGUCAAGAACAACCAUCACUCGGAGUUCUACCUCAAGACCCUCACCAUCGAAGGCGUCCCCGGCCGCGGCCGCAUCCACUUCGUCUGCAACUCCUGGGUCUACCCGGCCGAUAAGCACAAGCAGGACCGCGUCUUCUUCACAAAUGAUGUAUUUGGUGGGAGAACUAAAACUGUCAGAAUAUCUGAACGAAAAAACCUUGAAUGGUUCUCCUGUGUGUUACCUAAAAGAUCGUUUUGAUAGUAAACGAAUAUAAACCAGUAAUACUUAACACUCGUACUCACAUCAAUGAUAAAUAUGAUAAGUAUGUGAAAAUUAAUUAUAUGGGCAUGUUUGGUUCGCCGAAAAUGUAACAUCGAAAGUGGUACUUUUAGAAAGUGACGUUUUAUCAAUUGUUUAGUUUACGAAAGUGGAUAUGAAAGUCACUUUACGAAAGUAAACUGAUAAAGUGAGUUAUAACUAAAUCUCACUUUUUUUAUUUCGACUAAAAAAAUUCGGAAGUCACCGAAAGUGGAGAGCUUAUCUAAAAGAUUAUAUUUGGCCUUAACUUUAAUACUUAAAUUUAUUUUUAAAGUUUAAUUUGACUUUAAAUUUGAAUUAAAAUUAUGAUCACAUUUUGAAUUUUAUUUGUAAAUUAAAAUUUAACAUAAAAUUUUUUAAAUUCAAAUUUAUGACUUUAUAUUUAAAUGUAAAAUUUAAAAUUUAUUUUUAUUUAAAUUGGAACUCUAGAAUUUAAUUUUAAAUUUUAAAUUUUAAAUUUUAAUCAAAUUAUUUUUAGUUAAGAACUUCAAUUUUAAUUCAAAUAAAAUUCAAAUUGAACGAAACGGAUAACAUUUUGUUCUUACUACAUUUGUUCUUCAUCUAUACUGUUUGGCAUUUUGAUCUUUUUUUUGACACAUUUCAAAUUGUAGUUCCUGCUAAGUAGCCUAAAUCUCAAUCUUGAUGCAGACAUACUUGCCAAGCAAAAUGCCGGAGCCGCUGCGGCCAUACCGGCAACAAGAACUGCUCAACCUCAAAGGCGCCAACGUCGCGCCGGGACCGCUCAAGGAGCACGACCGCGUCUACGACUACGACGUCUACAACGAUCUCGGGGACCCCGACAAGGGUGCAAAUCAUAUGCGCCCUAUACUUGGUGGCUCCCGAGAGCAUCCCUACCCCCGUCGCUGCCGCACUGGCCGCCAUCCUACAAAAACCGGUACACCUAUUUCUCGUGAGCUGAUUUUGAUAUUGACAGAUAGAUUUAUUGAAUAGAUUUGUUCAAACCGAUCAUUAUUUAGUGACUGACCGACUGAAUUUGACCAAAUUCAUUGAUACUGAUGUGACCGUGAUAAAAGAGGCUUUCGUUUCUUGUACUUUGAAUUGGAUUAUUUAUAAUGAUGAGCGCAAUCGAUCUCAUUUCGUAAGCAUCAACCAUCAUGCAGAUCCGAAAUCCGAAAGCAGGCUCCCGCAGCUGAGCCUAGACAUCUACGUCCCCCGCGAUGAGAAAUUCGGGCACCUAAAGAUGUCGGACUUCCUCGGAUAUGCACUCAAAUCCGUGACGCAGGCUAUCCUCCCGACACUCCACACCAUCUUCGACAUGACGCCAAUGGAAUUCGAUUCUUUUCAAGACAUCUUGAACCUCUACGAAGGCGGUAUAAAACUCCCGAACUCCCCGGAGCUCGAGGAGGUUCGCAAGCAAAUCCCCUUCGAGAUGAUCAAGGAGCUGUUCCGCUCCGACGGCGAGCACUUCCUUAAGCUUCCCUUGCCCCAGGUCAUCAAAGGUAACUUAGUGCUCGUUAAGACCAAAUGGAUUUUGAUAGAUAAACGAUUUUUCUUCGCAUGUACUAAACAUUUGACGGUUAUGCCAAUGAUCAGAGGAUAAGUUUGCGUGGAGAACCGACGAAGAGUUCGCGCGCGAAAUGCUCGCAGGAGUGAACCCUGUCGUCAUAAGGCGCCUCCAGGUAAAUCUAGGAUCCGGCGCAUCAUGUGACCCACUAUUAUAUUAUUUUCUUGUGGAAUUAGACAAGUCGCCAAAUCACGUAAAUUUCUGUGUCUACGCUAUGAAUUCUUAUUCAAUCUGCAUGUUUUUUCGUAAUGCGUAUCGUUCGUUUAAUUACUCUCCAUAUAAAUGUUGUUAGUUAUAGAUAAGUGUGGUUUAAUUUGGGACUAAAAAGUGUUCUUAUUCAUAUGUAGGAAUUCCCUCCAGCUAGUAAGCUUGAUCCUAAAGUGUAUGGUAACCAAACUAGCACAAUAACAGCAGCUCACAUUCAGAAGAACCUUGAAGGACUAAAAGUGGAUCAGGUACAUAUGCAUGUUUGGUUUGCUUUUAGUACAUACAUUACACAUUAUAUAUGCAUGUUAGCUGUGUUAUGAUUAUUCUCUGGUCAUUUUUUGUUAAAUGGAUAUUUUGAGUUUCAUGGUAUAUUUCUUGAGAGAAAGGUAGCAUUCUUACAAUUUUCGUUCAUUUUUUCAUAAAUGAACUUAGCUGCAAACAUAAAACAAUUAGGCUUCAAACUUGCGACCUCAGGUAUCGACCAUCAAGUGUUUUGUCAUUUGCAUUAGGAACUGUCGAUGUCUAGAUAAAAAAUAUUAGACCCGUGCAUGCAAUGCUACAAUUAAAAUAAGAACAAAACAAGAAAAAAAUGAUGUUCUAGCUUUUUUUUUUUUUGAUUUUUUUAUAAACUUAGGUGAAAAACCCACUUCCUUCAUUAUUUCUUAAUUGAAAGAGAGAACUCCCAAGAAAACUACAAAGAGAGGAUCUUCCUAGCUAGUUAGUUGGGAUAUUCAAACAAAACCCCCUUUUUCUGUAAAAUUCUGGAGAAUUUUGAUGCAUCCAAAUAAAACCUAAAAUAGAUUUUUUUUAUUUUUUUAUUUUUUUUUUGUUUCAUUACCGUUUCUUCUCAGAUCGAUCUUUUCGAUUACAAGCCGCUACACAACGCGAAUGGUUUUUCUGAAAUAUGUAACAAUAACCUGCUGCAGGCAUUAAGGAGCAACAGGCUCUUCAUUCUGGACCACCAUGAUGCAUUCAUGCCCUACCUAAACAGGAUCAACUCACUUGGCCACAUGUUCAUAUAUGCUACCAGGACUCUCCUGUUCCUCAAGAGUGAUGGCACCCUGAAGCCACUUGCAAUUGAGCUCAGCUUACCCCACCCUGAUGGGGACAAACAUGGUGCUGUCAGCAAAGUCUUCACUCCGGCAGACAGAGGUGUUGAGGGAUCAGUUUGGCAGCUGGCCAAGGCUUAUGCUGCUGUUAAUGACUCUGGUUAUCACCAACUCAUUAGCCACUGGUAUGUUCAUAUUAUAUAUAUAUAUAUAUAUAUAUAUAUAUAUAUAUAUAUCCUCACAAUAUAUACUUGUUUGGUGUUCUAUUUUAUAAUUAACCAUCCAUAUAUGCGCAAAUUGCACCAUUAGUUUCUGAAUUAAGUGCUCGAGUUUUGAUCUGUCGCAUCGCGGCAUCAAACUUUUAGAAUACUUCAAUCUUAUUUCGAAGUCCGCAAGUCUAGCUAGUCUACAAGUCGGUGUAUGUAACAACAGUAACACUCUUUAAUGUUCCGAAUUUAGCUCACUGAAGAAGUACUCCGAAUUAAAAACAUCGUCUGAUUGGAGGAUCCGCCGAAUUCGUAGUACUACUCUUCCACUUAAGAACUGACGUGAAUUACAGAAACUGAGAUUAGUGCGUCCUUCACGUGAGCCAGAGUCGCUGAUUAGCUCUUUCGAGAAUCAGGCUGAGAGUAACGGUUCCGCGUGUCUCGACGUGCAGGCUGAACACGCAUGCGGUGAUCGAGCCGUUCGCAAUCGCGACGAACCGGCAGCUGAGCGUGACGCACCCGGUGCACAAGCUGCUGAGCCCGCACUACCGCGACACCAUGAACAUCAACGCCCUCGCCCGCCAGACCCUCAUCAACGCCGGCGGCAUCUUCGAGACCACUGUCUUCCCCGGCAAGUAUGCCCUUGAGAUGUCCUCCGUCGCCUACAAGAACUGGAACCUCACCGAGCAGGCCCUCCCGGACGACCUCGUCAAGAGGUAACAAUAACUAACUGGAUCGAACUGAAAAUAUUAAUUUACUACUCUACGUAAGGGUGUGUGUGAUUUAACGUCCUUGAUGAUAAUUUUUUAAUUAUUUUUAACGCACACACACACACACACACACGUGUGUGUGUGUAUAUAUAGUAAUCAUUGUCCGUUUGAAAUACUCUUCUAUUAGUCGAUGAAAUAUUUUAUAAUUGUAAAAUUUAUAAUUUAGAAAUUUGAUUGAGAGUGCUAUGCUUCUAAAAGCAGGGGACCUCCGUGCUAUCAGUAUUUUCUCUAGGAUAUGCUGCUAAUAGAAGAUCUGCUUCGUUAUACUUUGAUCUAUGCUAUUUGAAGUAUUUAUAAACUAAGUUUUAUGAUCGAUUUUUCGAUAAUAUUAUUUAUUGAUCGAAAAGGUCUCAAAAAUUAAUUAUUUUAAUAGUCAAUAUGGGAUACUUGUAAGUUCAACGGUAUAAAAAUACUCAAAUUAGGUGAAAUUUUGAUAGAAUAUUUAUCUAAGAUAAUUAUCUCCGAUAUAAAAUUCAAAAUUUUCUUCAUCACUUUUUAUGAAAUUUUUAUUUAUAAUUUUUCAUUUUAGAACAUUCAAUCACAAGCCAAAUGAAAUCGAAAAAAUUAUAAAAUCUCACUUCUAGAUACUUCAAAUAGUAUAGAUUAAGUCUAACGGCACAGAUCAUCAAGAAAAAAACACACACACACAGAGUAAACUCGCUCUAUAAAUUUUAUUUUUUUUAAUUUUUAAUCAUUUGCUAAGUAAAAUUGGCUGCAGGAAGCACUAGCAUCCCCCGCAUUCAAAAUGUAAGUUGAUAGUAAAUAAAUAGACCUGCUGAACUUGGAUUCUGUUUUUCAGAGGGAUGGCGGUGGAGGACCCGUCGAGCCCGUACAAGGUCCGGCUGGUGAUCAAGGACUACCCGUACGCCGCCGACGGCCUGGCGAUCUGGUGGGCGAUCGACGCGUGGGUGAACGAGUACUGCUCCCUCUACUACCCGACCGACGCCGCCGUCCAGGCCGACGCCGAGCUGCAGGGCUGGUGGACCGAGGUCCGCGAGGCCGGCCACAGCGACCUCAAGGACGAAACUUGGUGGCCGAAAAUGCAGACACUUAAGGAGCUCACGAAAACCUGCACCACCAUCAUCUGGGUCGCCUCCGCGCUCCACGCCGCCGUCAACUUCGGCCAGUACCCCUACGCGGGCUACCUCCCGAACCGCCCCACCGUCAGCCGCCGCCCCAUGCCCGAGCCGGGCACCCCCGAGUACGCGGAGCUCGCCAAGGACCCGGAGAAGGCGUUCAUCCGGACCAUCACCAGCCAGUUCCAGACCAUCCUCGGGAUCUCGCUCAUCGAGGUGCUGUCGCGGCACUCGUCCGACGAGAUCUACCUCGGCCAGCGGGACACGCCGGAGUGGACGGCGGAGCAGCGCGCGCUCGACGCCUUCAAGCGGUUCGGGGACCGGCUGGUGGCGAUCGAGAACCGGAUCGCGCGGAUGAACGCCGACCCCAGCCUGAAGAACCGGAACGGGCCGGUGAAGAUGCCGUACACGCUGCUGUACCCAAACACGUCCGACGUGACCGGCGUCGGCGGGCUCACCGGAAAGGGCAUCCCCAACAGCAUCUCGAUAUGAUGAUGAAUCAGUAGUAACAUGCAUGCAUGCAUGCAUGCAUGGCUCGGUGCAAUAAUAAGUGUAGCUAGUGAGAGUUGAGUGUAUGCGUUCUAGCUAGUUAAUUGGGAGGAGAGAUGAGUUGUUAGUGGUAGUUGAAGGCCAUUUGUUUGAUAAUAACAAGGUUCUUGAGUUAUAUAUUAAGGAUGUGUAAGAAUUGAGUUACUUAUAUUUGCUUUAGCAUAAAUAUAUGCUAGCUCUUAAGCUUAUAGUAGGAGAUUGCUUAGCUUCCUUUUUUUUCUUUUUUUUCUUUUUUUUGGCCUUUAAGAAUGCUUGGAAGGAUUUGUAUGCUAAAUUCAUUAAUCGCUAACUAGAUACUAAUUAGAUGAGAGUCGACCUUAAUUAUACCGUGGUGUGAUUUGUAGAGAACCAUACUGAUCAUUGUUUUUCCAGUUUUUAAUGCAAAUCAUCAACAUGCAUGAGCAUCACUAUAAAAAAAAUCUAGGGCACUUUUUAGACGACGUUUAAGGACUAAGGGCACUUUUUAGACGACGUUUAAGGACGUGUCUCCAAACAUUCCUACAAUAUAGCAAUUACUAACGCUUUAGAAAGCAUCAUUGUAUUGUGUGAAAUUGUCAAUUAUAUCAAACUAAUUUAUCGAAUGAUAAACUUCAUUGUUAUUUUUAAUUUGUUGACGCUUUAAAGCUUUAGGAUUUCGGAAUAUAUUUUACCGACACUUGGUACAAGCACCGGUAUAUAUGUGACGACUCUUUAUUUAUCGAUACUUUUAAAUAUAACGAUAAACUAUUUUGAAAUGCUUUUAAGCAUUGUUAAAUAUUGAAAAAAGUGUUCUUAAAUAUUAACUUUUUUGUAGUGUGUAAGUGUUAUUGGAUAAAGUAUCAUCUAAGUAGUAAUCAUUAUGAAAAUAUCUUCAACAAACUCUCUGCGGUAGGAGUACAAGUAUCAAAUUGGAGCUUUUUAUUUUGCUUUGAAUUUCUUAUCAAAUUUUAGGCACAAUAGAUACUUCUUUAUGAAACACUCUAUUUGUAUAUGAUUUAUUCUUACUGACAUUAGGGGUUACAAACUUACAAUAGGUAAGAUUAGUAAUUCCGAUUUCUUUUCUCACAACAGUCCAGUGCCAUCAAGCUGCUGGUAAAUCCUUUGCUUACUGUAACAUCACUCUCUCACCUCAUCCUCUUUAAUACAACAUGUUUUGGGUCAAAUACUAGCCUUGCGAUCUUUUCAGGCUCACAUGUAUCAAAGUGUUCUAAUUUUCUGAACACUGCUCAUCCCAAUCAUGUAUAGUCGAUCACUGGGCACUUCAUGGGCCAAAUCCAGAUCCAAUUUAUGUAUUCGAAGAGGCCCUUUUUUUAUCUUUUUUUCUUUUUUAACCUAAAGUAGAGCCAAUUGAUUGUUUGAAUUAUUGCAUUCGUAUUAAUGACUGCAUAUAGAUGCUUGAUUACAGGAAAAAUAUUGGUUUGUGACCAAGGCUUGAACUAGCCGGUUGGAGACUCGGCUCUGAUGGACGCAGUAUCGCCAUGCACGUUGUCACGGGGUCAGAUUUUUCUCCUUGAAAAUCCCUGUAAGACGCCCAAGUAUCGUACAUCUAGGUAGCCUUCUCAACUUCCUAGUACAAGGAUGCUUCAAAACUUAGUAACGGAAUACCAACUUAAGCAUUUUAACCAAACAUGCUCCUCUGCGAGCCUCACUGUUUAGGGCUAUGCCUUACAUCAAAUUCCUUGUCGGACUCCACAAGUUCCCAAUGAACAACCCUACCAUAGAGAUAGGCCAAAAGCCGAUCGAAUUCAUUCUGUCUCACCAGACGAACCCUCCUUAGGAGUGCUAUUCAGUCGAAUGCCUCGUUGCCCUCCAAGCAAGACACAUUGCUAUCGCAAAUUCUCCCCAACUUAAAAGUCUUAUUUGAUUAUAGCUGACUGUCUCACUCUCCCGACUUGGCCUGUAUAUCAAAAGUGCUCAAGUCAAGACUCCGCGACACCGCACGCUUUGAAGGGAUCUCUCGAAUAAAAGUCCUUCCAACAGCAUUAUCUCUAGCGCCUUACAACGCUCACGACCAUACCAUUCAACAUCUUGUUUAUGCAGCCUACUCGCUUGGUCCAAAUACAUUACCUAAUCGAACUACCCAAGUGUAAGUAGCAAGCUAGCACAAAUCUCAAACCCAAUGACUUAGUGAGACACUUUGGAAGUCAACUCUCUGCACAUUUGUGCCUUUUGUUUCGCGUGCGCGUCUCGAGAGCACUAUUACUUUUGGCGAGUAAAGACAACAUGCCCACACUGAAUCAUCGGCCGUCUACAUGACCAUUUCCUUUGUCGCGUUUAGGCCCCUAAUUCACCUCAUCAUAAGCUACUUUACUGAUUCAAGGUCAAUCUGUUCCACUAGCCGCUUGGUACCUUCGUUACCCAACCAAGCCCGAUUGCUCACACCCUCUGUUCAACCCUAAGGCUCACUUAUGGAUCUUAUCAUCGAUCAUUCUUGCCUAAUGAGCUUCAUAGUUACCACACACCAUUAGUCCUUAGGCCAGCAUCCUGCCCUGUGACGGGAGGCCAGGUUGAGCCGAGUCACAUUCAAAAUGGCGUGAAGCUGGGUAGGCCGAGUCAUGUUCGAAGUUGUGUGAGGCUAGGUGGGCCGAGUCACAAUUGAGAUCCGUGGGCGCUAUACCUGUACAUUUUAAGUGAAUUGGUUGCGUAUUUCUAACAGCUCGAGAUUUUGGGAUUAAUGGUUAGCCCCAACGAUCUAAUAAGUGGUAUAAAAGCCAAAGGUCACGGGUUCAAUUCCCGCAUGCUGUAAAUGGGCUAGCAUCCUGCCUUGUGGCAGGAGACCGAGUUGGGCCGAGUCAUGUUCGAAAUGGCGCGAGGCUAGGUAGAUCGAGUCAUGUUCGAAGUGGCGUGAGGCUGAGUGGACCGAGUCACAAUUGAGAUCCGCGGGCGCUGUAUCUAUACGCUUUAAGUGAAUUGGUUGCAUAUUUCUAACAGCACGAGCUUUUGGGAUUAAUGGUUAGCACUAACGAUCUGACACCAUUGGAGAAGUUGGGACUACUUCACAAGUGUUCUACCCUCCUCACCCCCUUCUUUGGCACCAUGGGGGUACAAAGGUACUCUACUAAUGGUAUGCUUCUAGUCCGUAUAUGCGGUACCAAUAUCUUCAUCACGACAUAGGUCAUUGCUAGGAAAUUACCUCUAUUGACCCAUUCGCAAUGGCACACAUGAUGGAGUGUCUAAACUUCACAACUGCAUAACUUUGUCAACUGAAAUACCUUCCAAAAAUGGCACACUAGGAUGUGACGGUUGAGCCCAAUCAAUCAGCACAUAACAAACUCCCUACUCAAGCCAUCGAUGCCCUUGUCGAUGCUCAACUAUGUUACGACAAGUGCACAAACGGAAACGAAAAUGGCGAAUACAAAAUAAACAAACCACAAACAGAAAUAGAAGAAUACACAGAUUUAUGUGAAAAAUCUAUUGCAGGAAAAAACCACGGGCGAGAGAGACGAGAACUUCACUAUCGAAUGAAAAAGAGAACACAAUGUUAAGAGAGUACAACCAACUUCAAUAUGUCGCCUCUAGGGCAAAAAUGGCAAAGGAAAUUCUUAACGGGUUUCGGAUCUGAUCCAUACCGUGGGGGCCGUACCCCCCGGCGAACGUCAGUGGUGGGUUAUGGGCUCGGGCCUGUCGGUCCGAACCCUCCGCUACCCACCACAAACAUUCAUUUUUUCUUUACAAUUUUUAUUUUUCAAUUUGGUCGCACCGCGAAACUGUCGACAAGUCGAAAUUCCGAACUGAAGUCGAUUAUCAAUUUCGAAUCACAUCUAACAAACUACUUCACCACGAGAACUUCGAUAUUCACAAUAAUAUCAAUCUCAAGACUAGAGCCACCCACGGCCUUUACAUCCCAUGUCACACUGAUUUUCCAACAACCAAUUUGCUGAACGACACUUCCCCACUUAUCGAUUCUUCCAAACUGGACACUUUAUGAACACAAUAUUCUACCCCACUAAGUUAGAACCCUCUCGGCCUUGGUGCAUUCCACACACUACACUAACUUCUCUCCAGAACUAGAAUUUUGAUAUUAUAAUCCAUCGGAUACCAAGAUUUUAUUAACACUCUUUUGCAAUCUGGUUUUAUCUGUCGGAGCUACUCGGCCUUAACAUACGUGUUGCCUUGACUUAAUCUAAUUCUCUCAAGUUCAGUAGCCAACAUUGUGACUUCAACUUAUGGAAGUAGUCCUUUAUUAAGUAACAAUCUCUGCUCAACAUUUUUGCUUAAUUACAACAAAUGGAAUUACAUUCAAAUUUAUUAUUCUUAGCUCCAUGACAGCAAUUGACGAAACUAAUUUCAGAUUAAAAGUAAGCUUACCUAUUUAAUCACCAUGUAAAUAAAAAUGUAUUUUUCUCUUAUUUAUUAAGUUAAUCUUAUCUUUUUAAAUAUAAACUGAUAAAAUUUAUAAAUGCAGUUUCCAACCGCAUGUAACAAAGCAAGUUAAUUGAUCAUUUUGUAGGUGCAAAUGCACUUAUAAACUACGUACAUCUAAGCUACAAGUACUGCAAUCGAAGUUGCAAUUAAUGAAUAAAUAUUAUGUUCGCCUUCGUAAAAAAUAAUGAACCAAAAUACAUUAUUUGGUUAUUUGUUGCUAUUAUUUGCAUUUGCCUCUCUAAAUAGGGUCUAAAUUAUAGGAAUGAGUCAGGAUUUAUGUAGUAGGAAGCACUCCAAGUCGUGAGGAGUGGGACCAAAUAAGUGUUAAUAUUAGCGGGUGUUUGGUCCUGUUUUUGAAAAGUGAUUCUGAGUCCAAGAAUAAUUUUGGACUUAGUUUGAGUGUUUGACAACAAAUAUUGAAAAAUCUGAUUCUUCUUUUUACAAUCAGAAAACUGAUUUUGAAGGCUCCAGAAUCAGAAACAGAAAAAAGUUGCUUCAUAAAUCUGAUUCUGAUUUUAAACUCAAACUUCAAAUUUUUAUUUUAAUUUUAGAUUCAAAGUUUAAAUUUAAAUUUAAUUCUAAUUUUUAAAUUUUAAAUUCAUAUUUGAAUUUUUAAAUUUCAACUUUUCAAAUUUAAAAUUCUAAAAUUUAGAUUUUAAAUUUUAAAUUUUGAAUAUUAAAUUUAAAUUUCAAAUCUCACAUUUUAAAUUUUAAAAUUCAAAAUUUCAAUGUUCAAAUUUAAAAUUUAAGAUAAAAUUUAAAUAUUUAUAAUUUAGAUUUUAAAUUUUAAAAUUUAAAAAAUUUUAAAUUUUAAAUUACAAGUUUUAAUCUUCAAAUUACAAAUUUUAAAUUUUUAAAAUUCAAAUUUUAUAAAAUGUAAAUUUUAAAUUUUUAAAUUUUAUCUUAAAUUUUAAAUUUUAAAAUUUAAAAAAUUUUGAAUUUUAAAUUACAAGUUUUAAUAUUCAAAUUACAAAUUUUAAAUUUUUAAAAUUCAAAUUUUACAAAAUAUAAAUUUUAAAUUUUAAAAUUCAAAUUUUAUAAAAUAUAAUUUUUAAAUUUUUAAAUUUUUAAAUUUAAAUUUAAAAUUAAAUUUAAAUUUAAAUUUUAAAUUUUAAAUUUCAAAUUUCAAAUUUAGAUUUUUAAUUUUCAAAUUUAUUUUUAAAUUAAAAUAUAAAAUUUUAAAUUUUGUACAAAUUUGAAAUUUAAAAUUUUGAAUUUUAAUUCAAAUUCAGAUUUUUAAUUUAAAUUUUAAAUUAUUUUAAUAUAAAAUUUAGUAAAAAUAUUAAUAUAUGCAAAUAUCAAAAUAUUUUUGUUAAACAACUUUAAAAAAUUACUUCAAAAAAAUCGCUUUUAUCUAAACUCAACCAAACGCUCUACAGCUUUUAACCAACAUCAAUUUUUCAAAUCAAAAUCAGUUCUGUAGAAAUUAUUUUUUCAGAAUAUAGGCCAAACGAGCAUUUCAUUUGAUUUUAGUAAUUUAAAACUCUAUUUUACUCCGUGGACUUUUCGGACAGCCCAACAUCCUAUGGACUUUAAUGGACCUUACUUGGGAAUCCGUACCUAAGUUUCUAUAUGUAAGUAUUAGUCCAAUAUUGAAAACUAAAGACUAGUAGUUGCUUCUCAUAUACUCCAUCAUUAUCAAAUUAGUUGUUUGNCAUCGGAUACCAAGAUUUUAUUAACACUCAGGAGCUACUCGGCCUUAACAUACGUGUUGCCUUGACUUAAUCUAAUUCUCUCAAAGUUCAGUAGCUGCAACGUACAUUGUGACUUCAACUUAUGGAAGUAGUCCUUUAUUAAGUAACAAUCUCUGCUCAACAUUUUUGCUUAAUUACAACAAAUGGAAUUACAUUCAAAUUUAUUAUUCUUAGCUCCAUGACAGCAAUUGAAGAAACUAAUUUCAGAUUAAAAGUAAGCUUACCUAUUUAAUCACCAUGUAAAUAAAAAUGUAUUUUUCUCUUAUAUAUUAAGUUAAUCUUAUCUUUUUAAAUAUAAACUGAUAAAAUUUAUAAAUGCAGUUUCCAACCGCAUGUAACAAAGCAAGUUAAUUGAUCAUUUUGUAGGUGCAAAUGCACUUAUAAACUACGUACAUCUAAGCUGCAAGUACUGCAAUCGAAGUUGCAAUUAAUGAAUAAAUAUUAUGUUCGCCUUCGUAAAAAAUAAUGAACCAAAAUACAUUAUUUGGUUAUUUGUUGCUAUUAUUUGCAUUUGCCUCUCUAAAUAGGGUCUAAAUUGUAGGAAUGAGUCAGGAUUUAUGUAGUAGGAAGCACUCCAAGUCGUGAGGAGUGGGACCAAAUAAGUGUUAAUAUUAGCGGGUGUUUGGUCCUGUUUUUGAAAAGUGAUUCUGAGUCCAAGAAUAAUUUUGGACUUAGUUAGAGUGUUUGACAACAAAUAUUGAAAAAUCUGAUUCUUCUUUUUACAAUCAGAAAACUGAUUUUGAAGGCUCCAGAAUCAGAAAAAAGUUGCUUCAUAAAUUUGAUUCUGAUUUUAAACUCAAACUUCAAAUUUUUAUUUUAAUUUUAGAUUCAAAGUUUAAAUUUAAAUUUAAUUCUAAUUUUUAAAUUUUAAAUUCAUAUUUGAAUUUUUAAAUUUCAACUUUUCAAAUUUAAAAUUCUAAAAUUUAGAUUUUAAAUUUUAAAUUUUGAAUAUUAAAUUUAAAUUUCAAAUCUCACAUUUUAAAUUUUAAAAUUCAAAAUUUCAAUGUUCAAAUUUAAAAUUUAAGAUAAAAUUUAAAUAUUUAUAAUUUAGAUUUUAAAUUUUAAAAUUUAAAAAAUUUUAAAUUUUAAAUUACAAGUUUUAAUCUUCAAAUUACAAAUUUUAAAUUUUUAAAAUUCAAAUUUUACAAAAUAUAAAUUUUAAAUUUUAAAAUUCAAAUUUUAUAAAAUAUAAUUUUUAAUUUUUUUAGUUUUUAAAUUUAAAUUUAAAAUUAAAUUUAAAUUUAAAUUUAAAUUUUAAAUUUUAAAUUUUAAAUUUCAAAUUUAGAUUUUUAAUUUUCAAAUUUAUUUUAAAUUAAAAUAUAAAAUUUUAAAUUUUGUAGCAAAUUUAAUUUACAAAUUUUGAAUUUAAUUCAAAUUCAGAUUUUAAUUUAAAUUUUAAAUUACAUUUAAUAUAAACUUUAUAAAAUAUUAAUAGUUAUGCAAAUACAAAAUAUUUUUGUUAAACAACUAUUAAGGAAAUUAUUUCAAAAAAUCGCUUUUAUGCAAACCAACAAACGCCUUCACCAGCUUUUAACCAAAAUCAAUUUCAAACCAAAAUCAGUUCUGAGAACUAUGUGUUUCAUAAUUAGACCAAACUAGCAUAUUCAUUUUGAUUUUAGUAUUUAAAACUUAUUUUACUCCGUGACUUUUCGAACAGCACAAUCCUAUGGACUUAAUGACUUACUUGGAAUUGCCGUACUAAGUUCUAUAUGUAAAUAUUAGUCCAAUCUUGAAAGACUAAGACUAGUAUGCUUCUCAUAUACUCAUCAUUAUCAAAUUAGUUGUCUUGCAAUGCAAUGAGAUAAUACUUUGACAAUACCGACACGAGCCUGGUCAUGGCAGUGACCUGUGCACAGGUUAGGGGUGGCAAUCUAACUCGCUGUCCGCCAGCUCCUGUUCGGUCGAAAUAAGCUCGAGCUCGAAUCGCCGUUUAAUAACAAUGCCUGAACACGAACUGAAUUUUCGGCUCAUUUAAUAAAAGAGCCGAACACACAAGUGGGGUCAGCUCAAUGUGUUCGCGCUCGAAUGCAUAUAUUUUAUAUUUAUAUAAUUUAUUUAAUUAUAUUUUAUGAUAUAAAUAAAUAAUUAUAUAUAAUAUUAUUUUAUUAUUUAAUCAACUUUUUACAAAAUAAAAAUAUAAAUGCGAGCUAGAAAUAUAUAAAAGACAUAUUGAAUUAUCAACUUUAGAUCAUAAGUCUAAUGAACAUAAGAUAUUAUAAAUUUAUUUUUAUAUAUAUUCACGCUAAUCCUUAUUAACUUAUUUUCGUGGUUGCCACUCGUAAAGCCAUGAGUUCGGCUCUUAAAACGAGCCGAAUACGAACUGAAUUUUUUGGCUCGAUAUUUUAACGAGUCAAUUCGUGUUUGGCUCGUUUACACCCCUAGCACAGGUUCAAACUACCCGGAAACUUUUCCUUUUAUUUUUACUUUUUUAUAUAGGAGUGGAGAGGGUGAGAUGAAAGGAUUCUCUUUACCUGAAAAUAACCUUUUCUUCCUACAGUUUCUUUGUUGUUUCUACAGGCCUCAUUUUAAUCUUUUCUUCUCUAUAAUAUUUACUUGUUGAUUCUUGCAUGCAAUUUUUUAAACACAGAAGUUAAAUAGUUUUUAUUUAAAAUUAUUUAAAAGAAAAUUUUACUAAAAGAAUAGAGAGUAUUUUUCUAACAACAACAUUAUGUGCAAGUUACGCUAAAUUUUUAUGUAAUUGUAAGGGAAAACUUCAAAAACCCCCCUGUGGUUUCGCACUUUUUCACUUUAGUACCCUGUGGUUUAAAGUGUAUCAAUUUGCCCCUCUGUGGUUUUGUUUUUAUCUUUUCAGCAGCUUUUUUCUUAAUAUCUCGUUAAAUUAUAUACAAAAAAUUUCAGAUACCCACCUAGAUUUAUCGAAUAUUUACUUUAGAAAUUGUAUACAAAAAAGUACACAAUUGUGACAAGAUUAAGGAAUUGUCCACCGAUUGUAGCAAUAUAGAAUGGCACUGGGACGUGAACUUUUAUUCUUCGUAGGGUUAAAUGCAUACAGAACCUUACAAAUAUAGUAAAUUAUAAAUAUAUUUUUAUAAAAUUUAAUUUUUAUGUGUUGUCUCUAUAAAAAUUUUAAUAUUUUUAAAUAUAUUGCUUGGAUUAAAUGAUUCUGAAAAAUUAUGAAAUUUAGUUUUCAAAUAUUUUUAAUAGUGUAGAUCAAGUCUAACGGAGUUGAUCGUCAUUUGGAAGUCGCAACAUUGAAAACAACUUUAUAACAUGGAGGCCUCCGUGCUACUAAUAAUAUACCAGCCUAGCUAUAUAUAAGCAUGUUGAGCUCUUGUGGUUUUUUUUUUAUAGAGAGAGAGAAAGAGGUAGCAUGCUACAUGUUUCGUUUAUUUUUUUUAGAAAAAAAUUUAGCUAAAAAUGUGAAUCAACUAGGAUUCAAAUUUGAGACCUCGAAUACUAACCACCAAGCCCUUUGCCACUUACGUUUAUGACGGUCGGUAGCUCCUAUGCUUUUAAAAGCACAAGAGCUCAACUAUAUAUAUGUGUGUGUGUGUGUGUGUUUGUGUGCCAUCUGGCUUGUAUAAUUUUGGUAGCAUAGAGAUCUCCAUAAUAUCAAAUUAUUUUUAAUAAUGAAAUAUCUGAAUCAUCGUUCGAUCACGUUAGACAUAAACUAUGCUGUUAAAAGUAAUUACUAAUAAAAUUUCCAUAUUUUAUAGACACUAUUUGAUUAGUUCAAAAGUCUCAAAAUUAAUAAUUUUAAUGACCGAUGUGAUAGAUUUGUAAGUUUACCGGUAUAAAACAAUCCAAAUCUAGUAAAAUUCUUUAAAAAAAUUUUGUCACUAUUUAGGAAUUCUGAUCUAAAAUUUAAGUCUUUACUAUUAUUUUUUAUGAGAUUUUUAUUUUCCGUCGUAAUUGUGAGAUUAUUCAUUUUAAAGAUAAGUGAUGCAAAAAAAUUACAAAAUUAAUUUUUAAAUAUUUAUAAUGUAACGAUCCGACCCGUCAGUAAUAAUAACAUGUUAGACCCAAACUACCGGCCCAAAAUAUUUAACCCCAGUUAUUAUUACUAGUAUAUCCGUCACUUAUAAAUCCGUCAGACUCUCUCAUAUUAUUCGAUGUAGGACUAUUGGGAUGUGACAUAUAAUAAUACAGAUCAUAUCUAAUGGAGCCGACAACAACGAUGGUGAUUGGUCAGAGAAAGAAGAAAGAUGAACCAGCACGACAGAUCGUAGGCUAAAAAUGAAAAAUUAAAACAAUCCUUCUUUUUCCUCCUUUUUCUUCUUCCUUCAUGUUACUGAAGCGGAAGAGUGCUUUCGGGCAUCCUGAAAUCAACCAUCCGUUAGAAUUUGAGGCUGCGUCCGAGCGCCCGCAGGUGGUGAUUGAGAAAAUUUGGGAGGACGAUAUCACGCCAAAGGAUGACCAAAACAUUUUUCCUCUAUUAUUAUUCUGACACUAGUGAAAUACCCGCGAUAAUGCAAAUAAAAAUAUUUUUAUAAUAAAUUUUAUUUUUUUUAUAUUUUUAUAUAGUUUUAUAAGUCUAAUUAUUAAUUAAAUAAAAGUUAUAUAAAAAUAAUUUAUUUAAUAGUUAAAUCUAUUUAAAUAAAAGUCAUUAAAAUUGGUAUAUGCGCAAGUAAAUUUAUACAUCAAUUUAUUUUAUAAAGAUUUAUAUGAGAAGGAUUCGAGAUAAAUCUAUCAAAAUAAUUUUUAAAAAGUCAAUAAAUAGAAGGAAAAUAAAUUUGUAGAAGAAAUUGUUUAAUAAAAUUAAUUAUAUAUAUACACAUAUACACUAUAUUUCUAAAAUUUUNGCUGACUGGACGUCAUGGGGAAGAGUCUCGCGCCCCGCCCGUUUUGGCUGCAGGCUCCUGGGGAUGUUGCGGUCGAGCUGGACAGCACACGACGGUUACGGAUGCUCCCGUCAGCCCCCGUCUGCAAUGCUACUGACUAUUCUACACUGCAAGUCUGCAGCCCUUCAUUUGCACCCAAGUGUGAGUCAAAAUUAGUGCCAGAAUACCGAACAUAUCUAGACUAGAGUAAGUGAUAAAAAAUUUAACAGUUGAUAUUAGGAGUUUACAGUUAAAAUUCUAAUUAAUUUAUAUUUUCAGCUAAAUUUAUUUUUAAAUAAAAUAAACGAAAUAGGUAGCAUGCUACUUGUCUUUCAAAAAAUAAAAAAAAUGUUCCGGAAUGUGUAUUUAUUAUUUUUUAAUUAUUUUAGAAUUUGAAUAUUUGUAUAUAUAUAUAUUUUUUGUAGGAUUUGAUAUAAUAAAUUAAAUUCGUUGACCUAUGGACAAAAAAGUCUUGGAGUCUUUUUUUACUAUAAAUAAUUCUUCCUAUUUUAUUAUUAUUUAUCGUCCUUAAACUCCUGAUAACUUGUUAAAUUAUUUUUUUUUCUAUUUCGUUAUUAAAUGCAUUGUCGCUAAUGCUUGCAAAAUAAAAUCUUUCUCCAUUUUUUUCAGUGUUUUUGUACCCAACCGAUCAAUAGAUCUGCUCUGUUUUUAUUCUAACAAUAAUAAUAAUUCUCAGCCCAUCUUAUGAUUCCUUGACAUGAAUUUUAGAAAUAUAUAAAGCUUUCACCUACAACAAAAGCGAUGAAUCAGAAAUUGCUCUAAUAGCCGUGAGCAGCGACUUAAGAAAAUUCUGUUCAUAAUAAGAAAGCAAAAAGAUUGUGUAGAUGCCCUCAGAAAAAGUGUAAAAUUUGCACUACUUUUUGGAUGUAUGAAUGACACUGCUCUUAAAUUCUACUGUUUAAUAGAUUUUUGAUGAUUCAAAAUUUGGGUCAAACUGGAGGGUUCAAAUGGUAUGAUUUGACUUUCACUCGAGAUAUACGUGCUAGAGUAAAAAAUUGACUAAGCUCUAGGUAUAUGUGCUAGAUUUAGUUGGAUUUAAUUUGGGUUUCAUUCCAGAAACAUGUGCUAGAGCAUUUGACUAAGCCCCAAAUAUAUGUAUUAAGAUUUGUCGAAUUUAAUUUGAAUAAACUCUAAAUAUAUGUGUUAGAGCUCAAUCGAACUUGAUUUGAAUGAGUCGUGACCUAGUCUAUAAAAAGGUUCGGUUCAAUCUUUUAAAUCGUAUAAAUCAAAAAAUCAUUUUGAACCAUUUGAACGAGCGUUUCAAUUAUCGAAUAGGUGAAUUGACCCAGGUUUAACAAAACUGUUCAAAUUUUUUUUUUAUUAAGCCAUAUUAAAAUCUAACUGCUUCAAAUCAACUUAAUUAAUUAACCAUUUUUUUUUCUAUUUUAAUAAACCAGUCUUACAAAAGGUGAAACUUGAAAACUGAUAUUUACUUAAUUGGUUCUAAAAAUCAAUAUUCAAUAAUUAUGUACGAUACCCUAGAAUAGUUUUAACAGCGUGGAUUGUUGGUUUGAACACCCUAAAAUUGAAAACGAGACUAUAAUACCGGAGCUCUAGUACUAUAGAUAGUAUAAAAGACUAUAUAUAUAUAUAGAGUUGGACUGAGCUACUAUUAGUAGCAAAAUCCUAUUGUUGCUACCAGUUUUUUAGCCUUUGGAUCAACUCUUUUUAUUAUUUCUAACCAUUGGAUUAAAUACUAUAACCCAGUGGGGACUACUCAACCCUAAGGAAACUACUCAACUCUAACCGACUAAUAUCAUUCUGACCCUACAAUUUUUCACCCAAGGGUUAAAAACUUGAUAGCAAAAAGAGCGUUUUACUAUUAGUAUAGGAGGGUCUGGGGAGACACAUGUAGUAGAAGAAGAAUAGAAAUAGAUGUUGUACGCUAUCACAACACGUUCUAUGUGUGUAUAGUAUGCACCCUAUAUUUGUGACAUGUUUUCAAUAGUUUGAAUGUUAGUGUGUUAAUUUGCGUGUCAGCUCUUCUUAUUCCGGGAAUGAAGUCGGAACUAAGAUUAAGAUUUAGAUUUGGCAGAAAAAAAUUCAACCUCGGAUAAUAAAAAAAAAGGUUUGUCCGGUUAAUUGGUCAUCUAUUGCUAGCGAUAGUAGCGUUAAUAUACAUAAGGAGGAGUAAAAGUAUAAAAGCUGAAGGGAAAGGACUUAUUUGUGAUUUUUAAACAUUGAGGGGGACCAUGGCUACUGUGAGCCUCACGAUAGCUCCGUCCCUACUUUUCUGAAGGAGGAAUAAGUCUGCCAUCACACCUACUGUGAGACCCCAGAUAGUCCUAUAUAUAAAGAUAUAAUAGGGCUAAACUCUUAACCCGGCUUAAGCAUUUUGGGUGGUGGCAAGGCCCAAGAGGUUAAGAGAGUUAAGCGUGCUAGGACGGGAGUAGUCCUAGGAUGGGUGACCCCCUGGGAAGCUGGGGCGUCACAGAUGGUAUCAGAGCCAAUUACCAGCCGGAAGUGUGAGAUGAAUCUCGGCUGAGCCAGGGUCUAGAUGACGGGCUAGCGAGACGAGUCUCACAUCGCCUGGUACUUGUGAGUAUGAGCCUGACGAGGACGUCAGGGCUUAAAGGAGGCGAGAUUGUGAGACCCCAGAUAGUCCUAUAUAUAAAGAUAUAAUAGGGCUAAACUCUUAACCCGGCUUAAGCAUUUUGGGUGGUGGCAAGGCCUAAGAGGUUAAGAGAGUUAAGCGUGCUAGGACGGGAGUAGUCCUAGGAUGGGUGACCCCCUGGGAAGCUGGGGUGUCACACCUACGCCACACAAUAUAUAACCAGUCAAUCAUAUCUCUCUUUUUUUAGAAAAAAGUAUAGCAAACUUUUUUUUCAAUAAUUAUAAUAGCAUGGAUGAAUCUAAAAAAAAAAUAAUCUGAUUGAUUGGGAACGCCACACUAGCAAUAUAAUUGGCACUUUCUAGACCUUUUCCUUCGUAACAAUGACAUCCCCAUUUUAGUUUUCAAAGAGGAACAGUUGUUGCCUCUUUAACUAUUUUAAUUUUGAUUGAUAUUCUUUUGCUUCUAACUGUCCAAUUUGAAUUAUUUUUACAAGUUGAUUUAGAGAUUUUAUUAAAUUUAAUGGGCCAUUCUAUUAAUUUUAACCGCCUAGAAUAAUUUUUUAGCUAAUGGAAUUGCAGAUUUCAUUAAUUUUUUAACUCUUUUGCGCUCUACAAUUUUGAAAAUUUUGUAACUACGAAGAUCAGGGAUUUAAGUGUCG